AGCCUUGAGCAAUGGCAAUGUCAUAGCCAAUGAGGUUUAUCUGAGGUGUGAUUAAUGCUCAUUGAGAAUGAGGCCAAUUUCAGCAUUUACCACAUUACCUAGAGUUCAUAGCAUAAUAACAGGCCUAUGGUUUCGUUAAUGCUGUAUUUAUCAAACAUGCACAUAU
rnacentral:snRNA from 1 species